GACGAACGCUGGCGGCGUGCUUAACACAUGCAAGUCGAGCGGUAAGGCCCUUUCGGGGGUACACGAGCGGCGAACGGGUGAGUAACACGUGGGUGACCUGCCUCUAGCUCUGGGAUAAGCCUGGGAAGCUGGGUCUAAUACCGGAUAUGACCUCGCGGUGCAUGUUGCGGGGUGGAAAGCCUUGUGCGGCUAGGGAUGGGCCCGCGGCCUAUCAGCUUGUUGGUGGGGUGANGGCCUACCAAGGCGACGACGGGUAGCCGGCCUGAGAGGGCGACCGGCCACACUGGGACUGAGACACGGCCCAGACUCCUACGGGAGGCGGGCAGUGGGGAAUCUUGCGCAAAUGGGCGAAAGCCUGACGCAGCGACGCCGCGUGAGGGAUGACGGCCU
rnacentral:rRNA from 1 species